GGAUUAAUGAUCAGCUCGUUGAAAUCUUUAAUUUGAGGUGAUUUUGCAGGUUAUCCACCUGGUGAUCAGGAGCUGAGUCCCACUGUGGUGUUUCCAUCUGAGGACUGGUGGGUCCCUGACGAGUUCGCGCAUGGUGUCGAUGCACAUGCAAGGAUUGUGCUACGUGACAGUUGUGACUUUUGAGUGAUUCUUUUGAUUCUUUUUUAUGUACUCCCUUUUUGUUACUUGAUGCUUAAAUUAUUAUAUUUUUGUAUAUAUAUCAUGCCUUCGGGCCUAAAUGUAUAUUAACUUUAUAACUCAAUUGGGUAUCAAGUAUUUGGGAAACAAUUACAAGUAUCGUUA